AGCCGUCCUUGAAAUACCACCCUUGUAGUGUUGAUGUUCUAACGUCGACCCCUAAUCGGGGUUGCGGACAGUGCCUGGUGGGUAGUUUGACUGGGGCGGUCUCCUCCCAAAGAGUAACGGAGGAGCACGAAGGUGGGCUAAUCACGGUUGGACAUCGUGAGGUUAGUGCAAUGGCAUAAGCCCGCUUGACUGCGAGAAUGACAAUUCGAGCAGGUGCGAAAGCAGGUCAUAGUGAUCCGGUGGUUCUGAAUGGAAGGGCCAUCGCUCAACGGAUAAAAGGUACUCC
rnacentral:rRNA from 1 species